rnacentral:rRNA from 1 species
AGCGACUUAUAUUCUGUAGCAAGGUUAACCGUAUAGGGGAGCCGUAGGGAAACCGAGUCUUAACCGGGCGUUAAGUUGCAGGGUAUAGACCCGAAACCCGGUGAUCUAGCCAUGGGCAGGUUGAAGGUUGGGUAACACUAACUGGAGGACCGAACCGACUAAUGUUGAAAAAUUAGCGGAUGACCUGUGGCUGGGGGUGAAAGGCCAAUCAAACCGGGAGAUAGCUGGUUCUCCCCGAAAGCUAUUUAGGUAGCGCCUCGUGAAUUCAUCUCCGGGGGUAGAGCACUGUUUCGGCUAGGGGGCCAUCCCGGCUUACCAACCCGAUGCAAACUGCGAAUACCGGAGAAUGUUAUCACGGGAGACACACGGCGGGUGCUAACGUCCGUCGUGAAGAGGGAAACAACCCAGACCGCCAGCUAAGGUCCCAAAGUCAUGGUUAAGUGGGAAACGAUGUGGGAAGGCCCAGACAGCCAGGAUGUUGGCUUAGAAGCAGCCAUCAUUUAAAGAAAGCGUAAUAGCUCACUGGUCGAGUCGGCCUGCGCGGAAGAUGUAACGGGGCUAAACCAUGCACCGAAGCUGCGGCAGCGAACGUAUCACCCAAGACAACUUUACGGAGUUGACGAUUGACGGAGCGAAGCGACGUCAAAGCGUUCAUUAAAGUCGAGUUGGCUUAGGGAUACGUUCGUUGGGUAGGGGAGCGUUCUGUAAGCCUGUGAAGGUGUGUCGUGAGGCAUGCUGGAGGUAUCAGAAGUGCGAAUGCUGACAUAAGUAACGAUAAAGCGGGUGAAAAGCCCGCUCGCCGGAAGACCAAGGGUUCCUGUCCAACGUUAAUCGGGGCAGGGUGAGUCGACCCCUAAGGCGAGGCCGAAAGGCGUAGUCGAUGGGAAACGGGUUAAUAUUCCCGUACUUGGUGUUACUGCGAAGGGGGGACGGAGAAGGCUAUGUUGGCCGGGCGACGGUUGUCCCGGUUUAAGCGUGUAGGUGUGUGUUCCAGGUAAAUCCGGUUCACUUUAACACUGAGGCGUGACGACGAGGCACUACGGUGCUGAAGCAACAAAUGCCCUGCUUCCAGGAAAA